GAUGAAGAACGUAGCGAAAUGCGAUAAGUAAUGUGAAUUGCAGAAUUCAGUGAAUCAUCGAAUCUUUGAACGCACAUUGCGCCCGCCAGUAUUCUGGCGGGCAUGCCUGUUCGAGCGUCAUUUCAACCAUCAAGCCCCCGGCUUGUGUUGGGGACCUGCGGCUGCCGCAGGCCCUGAAAAGCAGUGGCGGACUCGCUGUCACACCGAGUGUAGUAGCAUACAUCUCGCUCUGGGCGUGCUGCGGGUUCCGGCCGUUAAACCACCUUCAUAACCCAAGGUUGACCUCGGAUCAGGUAGGAAGACCCGCUGAACUUAAGCAUAUCAAUAAGCGGAGGA
rnacentral:misc_RNA from 1 species